rnacentral:rRNA from 1 species
AUACGGAGGGUGCAAGUGUUACUCGGAAUCACUGGGCGUAAAGCGCGCGCAGGCGGCUUGAUAAGUUGGAUGUGAAAGCCUACGGCUCAACCGUAGAACUGCAUCCAAAACUGUCAAGCUAGAGUCUGGGAGGGGAAGAUGGAAUUAGUUGUGUAGGGGUAAAAUCCGUAGAGAUAACUAGGAAUACCAAAAGCGAAGGCAAUCUUCUGGAACACUACUGACGCUGAGGCGCGAAGGCGUGGGGAGCAAACAGGAUUAGAAACCCGGGUAGUCC